rnacentral:rRNA from 1 species
GGCGAACGGGUGAGUAACACGUGAGUAACCUGCCCUUGACUUUGGGAUAACUUCAGGAAACUGGGGCUAAUACCGGAUAGGAAUCCUUGCUGCAUGGUGGGGGUUGGAAAGGCUUCGGCGGUUUUGGAUGGACUCGCGGCUUAUCAGCUUGUUGGUGGGGUAGUGGCUUACCAAGGCUUUGACGGGUAGCCGGCCUGAGAGGGCGACCGGCCACAUUGGGACUGAGAUACGGCCCAG